GACCCAGUGUGGCAUAAUGGUUUGAGCGUUGGACUAAACUCCAUAGACCAGGCUUCAAUUCCCAGCUUGGCCA